ensembl:lncRNA
UUUUUUAUUCACAAUUGAAGUGUAACAAAUAUAGUUUAUUAAAAGUCUGCUGCUCAUUAAUAUCAUCUUAAUCCAUAAGCUCGGGAGAUUUUUAUAUAAAUGUCGAGCGGCCAGUUUGCCGGAAUGGAAUAUUUACAUUUUUACUCAAUAAUUAUAAUAUUAACACAAUAAAACAGAUUUCCCCACAAAAUUAAAAUAUUGCAUGUAAAUGCAAAGUAAACUAUGUGCAAUGGAAAGAUUAUCAGCAAUAUUUUGUACAGAUACAUUUCUGAGGUUCACAUGUUUAAACCCUUUAAAGGAGAUUGACGACCAUUUUGAGGAAUUCAGAUUGAGUUCCAGUCAUUUCUAGUGGUUGUGUACCACCAUGAAAAACAAAUGUCAGUGAUGUCUGUAUGAGACGUUUAAGGAAAAGUGGUGUAUAUUCAAAGAGGACUGACUGACUUUGGUUUGAAUUCCUGAAACUGGUGUAAUUCUCCUUUAAUAUUCACUAAUAGAAAGGCAUUGGAAAGCAACAGACCGUCAACACAAUAAUCAUAAAAUCACCAAAGACACUGCAGCUUAAUCAUGAAAACAACAGAUUAAAAAAAAAAUCAAGUCUGCAUGUGAUAAUGAACAAAAGCCUGACGUCACACAACGUGAAGCUAAAGCAAACACCAGAAACCAAAUACAUUCUCCAGAUCUCCUUUUGCAGGUAGUGAAACGACCAGUUCAGUGUCAAAUGAGAGAGAGAAAAAUGUUAAAAUGAUAAAAAUCCAGGUGGACACGAGCACAAGAGAAAUGAAAUUUUUUUUUGAAGAAAAGCUGGGACUCAGCCCUUUAAGUCUAAACAGGUCAAAUGUUUCUAAGAAUACAAACCUUCAAAAUAAACGUCUGCACACAGGGCUUAAAAAUCAACAACAACAACAUUUAUAAUCAUAUGUAUACUGUGUUCAACUAAUGCCUGCAAAGCAAUUUUCCCUGUUGGGAGAUUACUCCUCAAAAUGCUGCAAAUGACUGCUGAAAAUAUCAGGAAAUCUCACCCAUUCAAAUCUCUAUUAACGAUCAUAUUUACCUGAGGCUUAAAAAAAGAAAAGAAAGUAUGACCCACACACCAUUAAAUGUUUUGAUCUGUAACCGGACAGAAAUCAUCAGAAAUUUUAAAUAACUUAAUUCAUAUCAGAGUGAUAUCAGUACCUUAAUGCUGAAAUGUAGCCUUAACUCUUUCUCUCUUAUAUCUUACUGCACACUGGACAUUUUUGUGGGUUCAGGACUGUCCAACAUUUACAUGUUAGACUGUAACUUGACCAUCUCAGGGAAUGACGUGAUAGAGAAAAUACUCGAGCUGUUAGCUGCAGGUCUUAAAUGCAAAGUACAUAAAGUAUCUAAAACCACCAGGACCAAUGUGAAUGACCAAUGCCAGGUUCAGACUACACGACAUCAGCAAGAAGUUGAACUUGGGAACAAAAACUGGUGUUAUGGACGAAAAGAAUGCCUCACCACGUCCUGACUGCAGAAAGUGUAAGAAAAAUAAAAAUAACGCCAAGACCUUAAAAGUGAGGCUAAUCCUGCCUUCUUUCUAAUGGCCAUCAGGGGGUGACCUCUCUGGUCUCAAAAAGAAGUAUUUUGUCUCCACAGACCUCUUCUCACCAUGUUUUUAGAUACCACUGCUACAUGUUGUAGACUUUUAUCUUCUUUCUCCCAAAGUCUGCAUCAUUAAAGAGCCUGGCUCUACUGGAGGUUUCUUCCUGUUAAAAACAGUUUUUCCUUCCCACUGUCACCUAGUGCUUGCUCAUAAGAGAUUCUUUGAUUGUUGGAGUUUUCGCUCUAAUAUUUUAGAGUCUUUUGAUAGUAUAAAGUGCCUUAAGGUGACUGUUUUUAUCAUUUAGUGCGAUAUAAAUGAACUUGAAUUAAUUGUCUAAGAAAUGAUUCACAUUAGUGCCCCGGAUUCAAUUUAAUUCAGUUUUUUUUUUUUUUUAAAUAACAACUACUACAGAGAAAACCCAGCACUUGGAAACAGUGGGAAGGAAAAACUCCCUUUUAACAGGAAGGACGGCCUGGCAGAACCAGGCUCAGGGAAGGGAAGCCAUCUGCCGUAACGGGGUUGGGGUGAAACAAAACAUCCUUGUGAUUUCUUUGGUCACUAGCACAUUGCUGUAGUUCCUCAUAGUUUGCACGGAAGACGCUGACCUGCCUGCAAAAACUUGCUAGCAAAAAAAAGUGUCACUCAACCCAAAAACGGAGAACAUUUUCUUUCAAAAUAAAAGUCGAGCUUGACAGUUGGAGCCAUCAUGUUUCAAAACUUCUACUACUUUGAAGGAAAUUACGGUCUAUGUUUCUGGUUUGUGCUGCCCUUUUCACCGUUUCACUAGAGCGCAGAAAGUAGUUUAAGAGUGUUUGCAGACACGCCAGUGUCUUCCAUAAAAACCACAGGCAACCAUGGCGCUCAAUUUCACCUCAUCACUGUCUACAAUCUCCACCAAUCACUCAGGGAAUACACGCUUCUAGGUUUCUAGGUGGUAGCUGACAAAUUUCUAGGCCUCUGUGCCUGUGGGUGUAGCCAAUAAGUAAAAAAUAAGAUUUUGAAUUUAUAAUCUAAUCUGACACAUUAGAACUUGUCGUGUGGUCUGAGCCUGGCAUAACAGUCGGCAGAGAUCAAAGUAAUCGAUUACAAAUUAUACCCAGCCAGCUGAUAACUGUCACUGUUCAGUGUGUUAACAUUUACUACCAGUAAAGUAAACAUUUUCUGUAGUUUGCAUUUUUUUCAUACAUCAGACAGGGACGUGUACAUAUUUUAACCUUGCUGUUAUCAGCUCUCACUGGUUUCUGUGAUUUCAUAUAAAGCUGCACAGUGCGCUAACACUCUACUGUACAAUGAACACUUUAUGUCUUUAACUCUUCUUAUGUUUAUUAGUCACAUCCAGAGGAAAAAAAAAUGUCCCUACAGUGUAGAAAUAAACCUCAUGUGGUAGAUUUGGUCAUUUCCCAUAUAAACAGCUACAUUAAGCAGCUCUCCAUCUGUUUUGCUCUCAAACUUUUUCCUGUCUGCACACAUGGCUUCCACUUCCUGUGGCGUCCCAAGAUACCAGAAAACCAAAAAAACCCCAAAAAACAAAACCCCGAAACAAAGCAACCCCCCCAAAAAACAAACAUAACAAAACACACUGAAGCGAACAAAGACAAAAAUACAAACAAAAUAUUCUUCGCUUCACAUUGGAUGGUACAUUCAUGCGGCUCCUCUCCUCUCUAUAGGUUUUCCCAUCGACUCCCAGGUGGUUCCUUCGCCCCUUUUCUCUGCUGUUCUGUAAAGGUGCCAGCUCUUUAAAACCCAACACAAACCAGCACGCAGCUGUGAAGCUUUCUCUCUGCCAGUCUUUGUCUCUAAUCCAAUUAAAAACCCACAGUGCCACCUAGGGGUUGGCUCCCAACGUUUCCUACGUUCUCUAGCACAGAAUAAAUUAACACAAUCAGCAGAAUUACAAUAAUACAUCAUCACAUGGGUAAUAAAUGCCACUCUAACUAAACCAAACAGUAAGCUCUGCCGUCUGUACAGUGAUAGAAAGAACGUGAAGAGAUUGGUCACAGCUCAGAGAAUAAGAAACGAUAUGUCAGUGUUGGUAAAAACCGGGGCUUGAGCAUUUUGGGCUUUACUUUUCCAAACAUAAUGAAAAAAAUCUGGGAGUUUAGUAUUGUGCAAACACAGGACUGUGGUAUGGUCUGUCAAAGCUUCAUCUUUUGUUUUUACUGUGAAUUUGAGAUGGCAGGAAAUUAAAAGUUCUGAAUGCUUGGGGACUGAAUCAGGAACAAAUAGGCUCAUCUAAAGGGAGAGAAGUAAUGCUGUAGUGCUAUUCAUCCAUCUAGUUUAUUUUGUUGUUAGCCGACUGUUUUUGUAGAUAUUGGCUGUAGAGAUUUCUGCCCUUUCUUGAAUAUUGAACAGAUGGUGGAGACAUUGUGGCAACCUUUUAAAAACUAAGUCUUUUAUGUCUUGAUUUAUGCUCAAUCAUCCAAGUAAGUAAAUCGCCAAAAGUGGAUUCUGUUCAUCUGGACGUAGCGUUUUCAGUGGGGGAAACAUUCACUCAUCCAAGUGACUUCUGCAGUCUCAGCUAACUGUGGUUUCCCCAAUCUUAUGCACUGUUUAUAACACUGGAGAAACCUGCAGUCAGCUGAGGCUGAAGAAGUCACUUGGAUGUGUGACGAAACGUUUCCCCCACUGAAAACGCUACGUCCAGAUGAACAGAAUCAACUUUUGCGGAUAAACCUUUUAUGAAUCCACAAAACUCUACAAACAUUCUUGUGAGCGGUUGCAUGUAUUUUCUUUCCAUCAAUCCGCACCCAUUAAACGGCAUUUUCUCCAAAACUGGAGGACUCACACCAAAACAAUCUAGAUGGAUAAAACAACACUGCAGGUAAGCUGAAAGAUGCAUAACUG